UACAGAGGUCCCAAGCGUUGUUCGGAUUCACUGGGCGUAAAGGGUGCGUAGGUGGUUAGGUAAGUCUGAUGUGAAAUCUCUGGGCUCAACCCAGAAACUGCAUUGGAUACUAUCUAGCUAGAGGAGUGGAGGGGGGGGACUGGAAUACUUGGUGUAGCAGUGAAAUGCGUAGAUAUCAAGUGGAACACCAGUGGCGAAGGCGAGUCCCUGGACACUUCCUGACACUGAGGCACGAAAGCUAGGGGAGCAAACAGG
rnacentral:rRNA from 1 species